AUUGAACGCUGGCGACAGGCCUAACACAUGCAAGUCGAACGAGCGGCGGACGGGUGAGUAAUGUCUGGGUACCUGCCUGCUGGAGGGGGAUAACUACUGGAACCGGUAGCUAAUACCGCAUACCAUCAGAUGGACCCAUAUGGGAUUAGCUAGUAGGUAAGGUAACGGCUCACCUAGGCGACGCUCCCUAGAUGGUCUGAUAGGAUGAUCAGCCACACUGGAACUGAGGCGCGGCCCAGACUCCUACGUGAGGCAGCAGUGGGGAAUAUUGCACAGUGGGCGAAAGCCUGAUGCAGCCAUGCCGCGUGUAUGAAGAAGGCAUUCGGUUUGUAAAGUACGUUCAGUGAGGAGGCGUUACGGUCAGAAGAAGCACCGGCUAACUCCGUGCCAGCAGCCGCGGUAAUUC
rnacentral:rRNA from 1 species